AUGCAGCCCCUGAUGACUUUAUUAAGUGUUCUAAGUUCUGAUUCUUUCGUUUUCUGAAAAAUUACAAGAACUUUAAAAAGUCAAUGUCUUUAUUUCCCUAAAAAUGGUAUUCAGAGAAGAGAAUAAUUUUGGUGGGAAAAAAUCUUACAUUUCAUGGUGUACUUUAAUGAGUUGUUGAGCUUGGACCUAGUAGAAUUUAUAAUAUAUAAAUUUAUAAUACAGAGACUGCAUAUAGCAUAUAUUCUUUAUAAUACAGAUAUAUCUUUCAUAUAUCCAACCUAAAAUGUAUUAGUGUCUCUGACAACUGGCAUUGUUAACUACUUACUCUCUCUACAGUGGAUUUUCUUCAUUAAUUUUUAUUUGUGCUACUUCUUAGAUGUCUCAUUAAUCUUUAGUUAUUUUUUUCUUUUCCUUUAGUGACUUUCUGUUUCUUUUCUCUGUCCAUAACAGGUUGUCCCGAUUUUUCUGCAUUUUGUUUCUAUAUCUGUCUCCUUAAAUAACAUAUUAUUCUGUGUGUUUAAACUUAGUUUUUUGAGAAAGCAUGAAGAAAUGAAGAAAACAAGGAAUUUACAUCUAAAAAGACUUUUUUUUUUUUUAAUUCUGAUAUUUUAACACAUGAUAUGGUUUGGCUGUGUCUACACUCAAGUCUGUUAUUGAAUUGUAGCUCCCAUAAUUCCCUCGUGUUGUGGGAGGGACCUAGUGGGAGAUAAUUGAAUCAUGGGGGUGGAUUUCCCUUACUGUUCCCAUGGUAGUGAAUAAGUCUCACAAUAUCUGAUGGUUUUAUAAGAUGAAACCCCUUUAGUUUGGCUCUCUGAUUCUCUCUUGCCUGCUACCACGUGAGAUGUACCUUCCACUUUCUGCCGUGAUUGUGGGGCCUCCCAGCCAUGUAGAAAUGGACAUGGAUGAAUCUGGAGAACGUCAUCCUCAGCAAACUGACACAAGAACAGAAAAUGAAACACCGCAUAUUCUCACUCAUAGAUGUUUCCUAGGCUAUCCACACUGACUGGAGAUCCAUGCUCUUGUGAACAGGAGAUGACCAUGUGGAUAUGAACAAGCUCGACAGUAAGCUGGGGACCAAGGGUGAAGCACCUCUGAAUUCUACACUAGAAUUCACCCAAUGAAAGGCUGCAGAGUGCAAAUUGUCUGUCUCACUACGCAAGACUGCUUGUCAAUAACCACACGAUGGGGCAGAAUAGAGCGAAGACAGCCCUUGACUGACCAAACUUCUAAAUUUCCUCUAAAAACAUCCUUUGGAAGUAGGUCUAUCAUCCUUUAAUAGAAUAAACUCCAGGAUUGUUGGACAAAGGGGGCUAUUUGGAAGAGCCACGCAGAGCACAGAGAAGUGGAAUAAUUCAGCUCUGAAAAUAAAGGUGAUUCAUGCUAAGGUAAUAAAUUGGAAAAAAUAAAAUAGAUGCAACUCAGUCCACAUAGCUGAAAAAGCUGGUUACAUUACAAAGACGUAAUUGAGAAUAUGUUUAUGCAUUAUAUAUAUGUGAUAUGCAUAAUAAAGCAUUUUGUAACUUCCAAAGCAUCUUAACAAUAUUGUUAUGGUUAAUUUUUAUGAGAGAAAACUCUAUACUUAUUGCUGUCUGCAAGGAUAUAUAACACAAUCCAAAAUUCAAAUGAACUCAUUGAACAAUAUUAAGAUUCAUUUUAAGAAAUAGUUGCCUUAUAUAUCUUUCUAAUGAAAUUUUGCAUCCUGUAGAAUUAGAAACAUAUGUUCAAGAACCACAAUGUUGAAGUAAAGUGGUUUGAAAUUAUUAUCUCUUCAUGUUAACACCCAAAUCAACAGUAAACUCCCUUCCCUCUACAAUGCAGCAUUUCACUUGAUAAUUAGCAGCUGUAUGCUAAUUACACUGGGAGCUCUUGAUUUCCUGAGUAUGCUAAUUUAAAGUUCUGUUGAGUGGUGACUUUUGUUUCAUGGAAGCCUAAAAUAUAAGCCAUAUAGAAUACACUAUACAGUUAUCCUGCUCUCAGUUCCUGGGGAAGAGCCAAUUGAGUGCUUCUAUUAAUGGUACCUCUCACUAAAGAGGAAAAUUGUUAGAAGUCAGAGUCACUUUAGCAGUGAUUGAAAGAUGAGAAAUUGAACUCAUAAGAUUGGGAUCCCCACAAUGAGCCAUGAGCAACACAAAAGCAAAAGGAAAGAUGAGAGCCGAUCAGCAGUCAUGAGAAUCAAAUUAACAUUUGGCUCCGCUAUUCUAAAAGUUAAAUGUACGAACUGAGCAUCAUUUAACUCAGGUAAACAUGAUGAGAGUUAGAUGUCGACAGACUUCCUAAUCGAAAAAGAAAAACGUUGGAGAGUCUGUUGAAACAGGUAGGAGAUGGCUACGGAAGAGCUGAUGUCAAGAGUGCAAGCGGAGUUGAUGGCAAUGUCCUUCUUAUUGGGUCUUCUACAACGUUAGUAUAUUUGAGUUUCUCUACCAUUCUCACCUGACCUUUCCUCUGUGAAGGUUACACAUUCUGCUUAAACAAAAGUGAGGGGUGCCAGCUUGGAAUAAUAUUCAUUGGCUGAUUUUUCCAUUGAAAGUUCCAGUAGUGGAAUACAACAUUGAAACUGAAAAAAGGCUGCAGGAAAUGACAUGGAAGUGCAUCUGUCAAUACCAAAACAAAGCUUGUGGAGAAACUAAAAGAAAUAAUUAUUUUGUUUUUCCCCUCAUAUCUUCUUCCUUUAUAUUUUUCUUCUUUCUGCUAUAAUGUCUAUAAUGUCUACAUAGACUAUACAUUUUAAUGAUAACUAAUAUUUCUGACACGUGUGUUCUAAUUUAGCAUUGUUCUAGGAUACACAUGUAUGUAAGUAUGCACACAUAUAGAUGCUUAAGAAAAAUACUAUUUUUGCUUUUCAUUUUAGAAAAGAAAACAUAAAAUCAUAAAAACAAGUUAAAUAAUUUUUAUGAGAUCAACGAGCAGGUAUGUGGUAUGACUCAGUUUUGGGCACAAGCACUCUCACUCUAAGAUCUGUGUACUUAGACACUAUUAUAUUGAUCACACAUACACAGAUAUACACACUCACCACUAGGGCUGAUUGACACUUUGUAGCCAAGUUCAUUGUCUUUUUUUGAGACACAGAAGUACUUAAAGAAAAGAAAGGAAAGGAUCUGCUGAGAAGGUGCUCUAGGAUGGUAAAAAUUCCAUUUUCCUUUAUAUCUACAGCUCCUUACCUGUGUAUGUAAGAAUUAAAAUCCAAAUCAGAACAUGUGUCAUGUGAAAUAAAGAAACUUUUAAUGAAUUCAUGAAAGACUUGCCAAUUUAACAUCAAAAGGCAUGUUUCAUUGCUUGGCAAGAGUGCUGCAUCCAAUUUCUAAAACAUGAUUUAAAUCAGGCUUGGUAAAAAUUACAUCUACAGUUCUACGCCUCACCACACACAAGUUAUGAAAGCUAAGGGAAUACUUUAUAAUAUCUUAAAAGAGCAACUUUUGUCUUCUGCUAUGUAUCAUAUAAAGUGAAAAAAUAAAUAAACAAAAACAAAUUCAUAGGGUUUUGUUUCCUUCAUUUAAUAUUGUAUAGUUCCUGAACCUAAUUCCCAGAGGUUGACAGUUUUGAUUUGACUUACAUGGACUUAAAUAAAGAGAUUAAAAAAUUGGGAUAUAGUACUGCAGGAAAAUAAAGGGAUUCGUUACUCAGGCUGGAGUGCAAUGGCGCGAUCUCGGCUCACGGCAACCUCCGCCUCCUG
rnacentral:lncRNA from 1 species